UAAUGGAACGUGAUGCACUUCGAAUGCGAGACGGAGGGCCAUUUGUCUUUGCUCAGGUGAAGCAUGGUCAUGGAGUAGAGGAAAUCGUGAACCACAUAUUACAGGCUUGGGAACUAGCAACAGGGAAGAAGCGCCACUGAUCCAUUUGUGCUGAAUUUGGUUUCAGUAUCUUGUUUCAAAUCUUUGUCUCUCUACAUUUAGGAAUAAAUGUGACUUCAAUUCAGUGUCGUGUCUUUUUUCCUCAACGUGUGUAGAUGUUUGACACUAGAUUCCACUGUUUAGUGUCUCACUGUUGGAACUUUUUGGCAUUCAUGCUUCAGUCCAGUUAUAAAUGGAACAAGAAAUGCUCCCUUGCUACCAUGUGUAUCGGUUGUAUGCCUUAAAACCUUGACUUUAUUGAGCAAAAUAAAUUUCACCAUUGACUUGAAGCUA